CCUGUAGAGCAAUGAAUAACGGGUUGGACUUUUAAUCCAAAGAUCGUGGGUUCGAAUUCCACCUGAUGGC
rnacentral:tRNA from 1 species